UUGGGAGGGAACGGAAAGGCGGAAAUCUCAAAUCUCUCUCUCUCUCUCUCUCUUUCUGUCACGCGCACACACACACGCAACUCAAUCAAUCGUUUCGGAAGGAGUUCGAGGUUCCGCCCCUCUUUUAGAGAUUAGGGUUCUUCGUCGGCGAAUAAUUUACCACGCUAACGAUUGUGUACAGUUCUUCUUCUUUUACGGAGUACACUAUACUUUUAAGUACAUCGUGAUCAUUCGAGCCAAAAGGUGAUGAUUUUGGGUACCGAGCCUUUGUUCCCGUUCAAGGCAGUUUAAGAAAUCAUUCGUUCACGCCCCAAUUUGAUGAUGUAUUCUUCUAUAUUAAGAAUGCAAAAGCAAGAUGUUGAUAGAAGCUAGUGACCUAAACGUUUGGUAGCUUUUGAUGGUUCGGUGUCGUAUGAUCAUUCAAGCAGGAUGUUGUUGGAUGCUGGAUGAGGUGGAGGCCAAUGUCAAACAGCGAGGAUCUGUUUGGUUUUUUCGUUUCCUCCACUUCUUGCAACUACAAAAAAUUACCUGCUGGUGGAGAAACAAGUUUGCGUAAAGGUGUCGGGGACAUCAGGAAUUCUUUGAAAGAAGUCUGCGGUUGAUGCGGUCCAUGGAGUUGGUUCACCAGCCUAUUUUAUCGCCACAAGUUUGAGGUAAGAAAUUGUGUUUGUUGUGAUUGUAGGUAGCAGGCAUUAAGCUUGGCUCAUCAUUGCCAUGAUCUUUGAGAAGUAAUAUAUGGAGGAGAAAUGGUUGUUGCUUGCUCCCGUUGAUCAAGUUCUACAGAAAUUGUCAUCUAAAUCAAAUCAUACAAGAAGAGAAAGAGCGAGUUUUUUCUAUAGGAGGCUAUCGACUGGUUCAUGCGUAUUUGGGGUUGAUGUAGCAGCUGGUGUUUGCUGUCGAGGCGAAAAUGUUGAUCAGUUUUGCAGAAAACAAAUAUAUGCAUGUAUGUAUUUAUGUUUGUAUUUGGGGUCUUACCAUGGAAGCCACAGACUGCAAUACUUCUUCACAUGGUUGCUAGUUUCAUAACAAAGCUGGAGCGAGAUUUCUGUAAUGCUUUAGUUUUAGUAGCAAACAAAGGGCAUGAUUUUGUCAACGGGCCAUAUCUACCGUUAUCAUGUUCAUCCAAAUGGAUUGCCCCCAACAGGAUUGACAGAAUUCGGAGUACUUGCUUGGGCGUAGCUGAUAGCUGGCUGUUGAUGGAUACCUGAAGUACCACAAUCAGUUCCUCUGUUGUCAGUACCUAAUCCGCCUUGAUUACUGCAAUGAGAUGCAUAAAGCGUCCAUUAAUGUCUGUAAAAGUCAGUCCUUUUCUGUAAAUAAUAGCAUAUGCAAUAUUACACAGAAACACAAGUUAAUUGAGUAGCAGGUGACAAAAGCUCUUUUGUUUC